CAGCGGUGGAUAUCUCGGCUCCUGCAGCGAUGACGAACGCAGCAAACCGCGAAAGGUAGUGCGACCCGCGGCACCCAUGUGGACCAUCGACUCUUCGAACGCAGACUGCGCGCCCCAGGGCCUCUUGGCCCAGGGCGCGCGCCCGCCUGAG
rnacentral:rRNA from 13 species